AACCGCAUAGAGCCAAACGGGUGGAUCCGCAGAGUCGACCCGGGGAAUUCAGCCCGGCCGCCCACGGAGCUCGCAAAGUUCGGAUCCGCAAGGACCGGGCCAGCGGGACGUCCGCGUGGCAGGGUGCACUUUCUCCGCGGUCGAGUGCUACGACCGGUUUCGAGGCGGUCAGAAGCCCGGCGGAAAGGUAGCGCCGCCCUUCGGGGUGUCGUGUUAUAGGCCGCCGCGGUGGACUCGCCGCGAGACCGAGGACGCUUGCCGCGCCGAGCGGUCCCGGGCCGUCUUGGGUGGUUCGACCUCGGCUGCACUGCUCCGCAGAGCACCGUAACCGCCGCCCUAGCACGGGUCCGGAGACUGCCGGCGCCUCGGGUCAGUAGCGAAU
rnacentral:rRNA from 1 species